UACCAGUUUGAUUCUGACUGAAAAAUUAACUCUAUACCAACCAACAUACAUGUAAAAUACUCAAUUCCCGCACUAUAUUAUAUCUAAAAGAUCUAAUAAAUGUAUUAAGAAUAUUCUUGAUACAGUAGAGCGCCACAGUAAAUAACACUUCUCAAUUUGAAAAAUCAAGAAAAGAGUGUGGUAUAAGGGCUGGCAAAAUUCGUGCCAGCUGCCGCGGUUAGACGAUAAGCCCAAGUUAAUAUAAUAUAAACUAAUUAAUGAUAAGUUAAAUAAUAAUAAAAGUCUAAUUUUUAAAAUUCCUGACUCACACUUAUCAAAUAAAAUUGAAAUCACGAGCUAAAACAUGGAUUAGAUACCCAUCUAUUCAUGACAUAAAUAACAGUUGAAUAUUACGAACAACAGUUUAAAAUUCAAAGAUUUUGGCGGUGUCUUAUAAAACCAGGGGAACCUGUCUCAUAACUCGAUAAUCCACGCAUACUCAACCUUCUAUUGAUAUAUCAGCAUGUAUACUGCCGUUGUAAGUAUACCUUUAAAAGAACAAGUAUACUACUAUGAUUAUUUAUUAUAACUCAUAUACAUCAGGUCAAAGUGCAGCCAAUAAGAAGGUGAUGAUGGGUUACAACCCCAAAACAGAUUAUCAACUAAGAAAUAAAAAAUCUUAAGAAAGUGGACUUGGCUGUAAUUAAUUUACAAGUUAAAAAAAUGAAUAAAAUCUAAGACAUGUACACAUCGCCCGUCACUCUAUCCUAAAGGUUAGAUAAGUCGUAACAAAGUAGGUGUAAUGGAAAUUGUACCUGU
rnacentral:rRNA from 1 species